GCAUGCGCAUUGUAACGAUCACGAGGUUGGCGCAUGUGUAAUGAAGCGCGCGCCAACGGACAGAUUCAGACUGCUGGACGGAGACAUUUUAGCAUCUUCGUGCGAGACUAAUGGAUCUACUCACAGCCAACGUGUUUCUGCUCAAAGCCAUCGUUUUAUGUAAGUAAUAAGUAGGCUAUAUGCAUUGAAGUAUUUUGUAAAAGUAGCAUGUAUCUGCUUGAUCGCAGAGCCGUGGUACGGCUAGUUAUGCACUGUAUAAUUUUUUUUGCCACGAGGAUGCUUAACUUUUAAGUCUCCCAACUUCAGCAAAUAGCAUGUUAAAAAUUUAGAAUAGAACCUGAGGCAAUCGUGGUAAGUUAAGUUAAGAACAAGUUUGUUUAUUUCAAAGUAACUUUGACGUUAUUGCACUGACACAUUUACUAUUUAAUUUGGCAAUUUUUGCAGUACACAAAUAUAAAGAAAUAUUUUAAAGUCGACUCUUUAUCUUAAAUUUAAAUUCACACACGCUACAGUGGCCUAAUAUUAGAAUUUUUACGUUUCAGACUGAGAUCAGAGGCAAUAAACAUCUGCAAAAAAAAAUUCCUGUGUCCUUCGAAGCCUGGCUAGGCUCUCACGUGUUUUGCAGACUACUCGACGGUGUCGACAAGACUGCAAUCGUCUCAUUUAAAAUAUGCAAUGAGUUCAAACGCAUCACUAGUGUGGACCUCCUCGAGACAUUCAGAGCAUCAAUACACCAGCACACUCCGCAACUCCUCAAGCUAUACAGAGCAAGAAAGGGGGCAUUUGGAACAGAAAUGGAAGAUCUUCUCAACAAGCUUGAUCAGCAGACCACAAAUAUUGUGACUCACAGAAAGCACACCGUCCUGGAAGGUCUCCCCAUGUUUCUACGAGAAGAUUCCUCUGUACUUUUUAAAACAUGGACAAGACUCCAGAGGACAGAUAGACCAGAGGGAUGAAGGUGGGAAUCCUUAUUGUAAUUGAAGAUGAUGCCCCCCCAGCACACUGCCCAGUGUCACAAAAUUUGCUGUUGUGUUGGAGGAGGUAUUGUACUGAGAGAUGCUCCAGACUUGCAGUCUGCACUUGCAUACCUGUUUGGCCCUCUGUUUGCCUUGGACUUUGAGUACCCAAAGCAACUGAAAUACACUUUUGAGAUUAUUGAGAAAGUGUUUAUGGAGAUGGGCACUCAUUGCUCUGCUAGGGUACAGACCCUCAAAACUAAGCUAUUACUUUGAGAUGCAUUUGUGAGAUGUUUGUAUCUUACAUUUAAGAUGCAAGUAGAUAGUUUUUUUUUUUUUGCAAUUUGCUUGCAUUUUGUUUGACUCAUUUUUGUUUAAACUGUUAACUUGAGGUUGUGAUAAACAUUGGUGCCACUGUUUCAGCACUUACAGCACAAACGUUAACUUGCACUUAUGGUAUAAAGCUGCUCAGUUGUAACAUAUUCAGUGUUUACAAUUUAAAAUGUAAAACAUUUAAAAGAUAGAACAUUUAAAGUAUUUAUGACCAGUUGAAUGUUAACACUUUGAAUGUAAAAGUACUCUUUAAAAAAAAAUAUUCUUCUGCCCUACUCUUUUUUUAUCUCUUUUUUAAGGAUAAGGAGUAUGGCUAAAGUGGUAAACAUUGUUUGUUUUUUCCAUUUCCUGCUGGUUUAAAAUAAAAACCUGGACCAAAAUAUCAAGCCUGUAGUAUCUUAAUUUUUUAACCUUGUAAUCAACAUCUUUAGUCAACUGAACAUACUUUAUUAAGUCAAGUGAAAAUAACAUUAAAAGUUGAAAUUGUAUAAUUUUGUAAGUUUUUUUAACUAUAAAAACUCAAUCAGCUGAACAAAAGAUUUUAAAUUGGUAAACAUGUGACUUUACUCAGUGAAUUAAGUUAAGUGAACUACUUUGUUUAAAAGUUGAGUAAACUCAAAAAAGCUGUGCAGCAAGUUGCCUUACAAUUUUAAGUUAUGUCAACUUUAA